rnacentral:rRNA from 1 species
UACAGAGGGGGGCAAGCGUUGUUCGGAAUUACUGGGCGUAAAGGGCGCGUAGGCGGCCUGUUAAGUCGAACGUGAAAUCCCCGGGCUCAACCCGGGAACUGCGUCCGAUACUGGCAGGCUUGAAUUCGGGAGAGGGAUGCGGAAUUCCAGGUGUAGCGGUGAAAUGCGGUAGAUAUCUGGAGGAGCACCGGUGGCGAAGGCGGCAUCCUGGACCGAGAUUGACGCUGAGGCGCGAAAGCCAGGGGAGCAAACGGG